CAAGUAGGAUGAAUGAUCGCGGCUGCCGUAUGGCAGGUGAGGAAAGUCCGGGCUUCACAGGGCAGGAUGCCGGAUAACGUCCGGUGGAGGUGACUCCAAGGAUAGUGCAACAGAAAUAUACCGCCGGCUUUGGGCCGGUAAGGGUGGAAGGGCAGUGUAAGAGACUACCGCCUGCACGGUAACGGGCAGGGCACAUGUAAACCCCAUUCGAAGCAAGACCAAACAGAAAGCGUUUAAAGCCGGCCCGGCCAGCUUUCAGGUGGGUCGCUUGAGGCGGGUGGCAACACUCGUCCUAGAUAGAUGAUCGUUCUCGACAUAACCCGGCUUACAGUCCUGCUUGAUUU
rfam:Firmicutes bacterium CAG:534 genomic scaffold, scf84